rnacentral:tRNA from 1 species
UGUGAUAUAACUCAAUGGUAGGGUAUCUACCUGGCAUGUACAAGGCCCAGAGUUUAAUACCCUGAAUUAUAA